GUGAAUCAUCAAAUCUUUGAACGCAAAUUGCACUCUCCGGUUUUCCGGGAGAGUAUGCCUGUUUAAUGGUCAGCCUAAAAAAAAUCGACUUUGUUGCUGUUUUAUGGUGACUUUCGUCGGUUAUGGGUUAUCUUAAAUCUCGGUUUAAGAGACUUAAUAAUUUUUUUUACGAUUCUAAGAAUGUUUCUAAGAUUUUUCUUUUACGUUUAAGGUAUCGAAUGUCUUAUUAGACGUGGCUGUCAUAUCGUCUAGUGACCAU
rnacentral:misc_RNA from 1 species